AUGGGGAACUGCGCCAGCGCCAUGGACGGCCUCAUCCCGUGGGGCUGGGGCGCCAAGCCCGCCGCCGCCAAUCCCGCAGGGAUGUCUGCGUCCAAGAGGACCACGAGCUCCUCCACCACCGCCACAACAGGGAAGCUGUCGACAGUCAGCACCAGCACCUUCAUGGCGUCGACGGUCAGCGGCGGCAGCACCGACGACUGCUACGAGGAGGGGGGCCACAUCCUCGAGUCCCCGAACCUCAGGAUCUUCACCUUCGCCGAGCUCAGGGGCGCCUGCAAGAACUUCAAGCCCGAGACGGUGCUUGGCGAGGGCGGCUUCGGGAAGGUCUACAAGGGGUGGAUCGACGUGAACCCGGCCAAGGGAAGCACCGCCAUGGUCGUCGCCGUCAAGAAGCUCAACCCCGAGAGCGUGCAGGGGAUGGAGCAAUGGCAGUCUGAAGUGAAUUUCCUUGGGAGAAUUUCGCACCCCAACCUCGUCAAACUGUUGGGCUACUGCAUGGAGGACAACGAGCUACUACUCGUGUACGAGUUCAUGGCGAAGGGGAGCUUGGAGAACCACCUCUUCAGAAGAGGGGCCAUCUAUGAGCCACUGCCUUGGAGCCUCAGGCUGAAGAUUCUCAUCGGUGCAGCCCGCGGCCUCGCCUUCCUUCAUUCGUCCGAAAGGCAGAUUAUCUACCGGGACUUCAAGGCGUCCAAUAUCCUACUAGAUUCACACUUCAACCCGAAGCUCUCGGAUUUUGGAUUGGCCAAGCAUGGCCCAGAUGACGGGGAGUCUCAUGUAACGACACGGGUCAUGGGCACGUAUGGGUAUGCCGCUCCGGAGUACGUUUCUACCGGCCACCUGUAUGUGAAGAGCGACGUGUACGGCUUCGGCGUCGUGCUGCUCGAGAUGCUCUGCGGCCUGAGGGCGCUUGACCCGAGCCGCCCCAGCGAGAAGCUCAACCUGGUGAACUGGGCGAAGCCGCUCCUGUCGGACCGGAGGAGGCUGACCCAGCUGAUGGACAGCCGGCUCGAGGGGCAGUACCAUGCCAGAGGGGCCUUCCGCGCCGCUCAGCUCACUCUCAAGUGCCUGGCCGGCGAGCCGAAGAGCCGGCCAUCCAUGAAGGAGGUCGUCGAGGUGCUCGAGCAGAUCGAGGCGAUGAAGAGCAAGUCCAAGUCGAGGGAGGCUCGGCGAGACAGCCCGUCGAUGCCGCGUGGCCGGGGGAACUCGCCAAGGAGUGACGGCGCUAGGACCAACUCUAGGGGCAGAUGA
rnacentral:rRNA from 1 species